GACGAACGCUGGCGGCGUGCUUAACACAUGCAAGUCGAACGAAGUGGCGCACGGGUGAGUAACGCGUAAUCAACCUGCCCUUCAGAGGGGGACAACAGUUGGAAACGACUGCUAAUACCGCAUACUGUAGGAGGGGAUUGCGUGGGAUUAGCUGGUUGGAGGGGUAACGGCCCCCCAAGGCGAUGAUCAGGAGCCGGUCUGAGGGGAUGAGCUGCCACAUUGGGACUGGGACACGGCCCAGACUCCUACGGGAGGCAGCAGGGGGGAAUCUUUCGCAAUGGACGAAAGUCUGACGGAGCAACGCCGCGUGAGUGAUGACGGCCUUCGGGUUGUAAAGCUCUGUUAAUCGGGACGCGGUACCGGAAUAGAAAGCCCCGGCUAACUACGUGCCAGCAGCCGCGGUAAUAC
rnacentral:rRNA from 1 species